AGCGGCGCUCACAAGUGCCGGAAGCACGCAGAGGGCAAGCAGCAACAAUGAUCUAGCCAUUGGGCUUUUGGGAUCAGAGAAUUACAGAGAAUUGUGCUUAGAUAAAUAAAGAGUGAGAUCAGAGAUGAAGAUUGAAACCGAAUGGAGCGAAGGAAAUAGAAAAUGAUGAAAAGUUAUAAGCAGCAACAGCAAGUAAAGAAGCAUAAGGAAGAAAUGGCAAACGUAAAGCUAAAGAGCGGUGAUAGCGCGCG
rnacentral:misc_RNA from 1 species